GAUGAACGCUGGCGGCGUGCCUAAUACAUGCAAGUCGAGCGAAUGGAUUAAGAGCUUGCUCUUAUGAAGUUAGCGGCGGACGGGUGAGUAACACGUGGGUAACCUGCCCAUAAGACUGGGAUAACUCCGGGGAACCGGGGCUAAUACCGGAUAAUAUUUUGAACUGCAUGGUUCAAAAUUGAAAGGCGGCUUCGGCUGUCACUUAUGGGUGGACCCGCGUCGCAUUAGCUAGUUGGUGAGGUAACGGCUCACCAAGGCAACGAUGCGUAGCCGACCUGAGAGGGUGAUCGGCCACACUGGGACUGAGACACGGCCCAGACUCCUACGGGAGGCAGCAGUAGGGAAUCUUCCGCAAUGGACGAAAGUCUGACGGAGCAACGCCGCGUGAGUGAUGAAGGCUUUCGGGUCGUAAAACUCUGUUGUUAGGGAAGAACAAGUGCUAGUUGAAUAAGCUGGCACCUUGACGGUACCUAACCAGAAAGCCACGGCUAACUACGUGCCAGCAGCCGCAGUAA
rnacentral:rRNA from 1 species